rnacentral:rRNA from 1 species
GACGAACGCUGGCGGCGUGCCUAAUACAUGCAAGUGGGACGCAAGGAAACACACUGUGCUUGCACACCGUGUUUUCUUGAGUCGCGAACGGGUGAGUAACGCGUAGGUAACCUGCCUAUUAGCGGGGGAUAACUAUUGGAAACGAUAGCUAAUACCGCAUAAUAUUAAUUAUUGCAUGAUAAUUGAUUGAAAGAUGCAAGCGCAUCACUAGUAGAUGGACCUGCGUUGUAUUAGCUAGUUGGUAAGGUAAGAGCUUACCAAGGCGACGAUACAUAGCCGACCUGAGAGGGGGAUCGGCCACACUGGGACUGAGACACGGCCCAGACUCCUACGGGAGGCAGCAGUAGGGAAUCUUCGGCAAUGGACGAAAGUCUGACCGAGCAACGCCGCGUGAGUGAAGAAGGUUUUCGGAUCGUAAAGCUCUGUUGUAAGUCAAGAACGUGUGUGAGAGUGGAAAGUUCACACAGUGACGGUAGCUUACCAGAAAGGGACGGCUAACUACGUG